CUUAAGCAUAUCAAUAAGCGGAGGAAAAGAAACCAACAGGGAUUGCCCUAGUAACGGCGAGUGAAGCGGCAACAGCUCAAAUUUGAAAUCUGGCCUCGGCCCGAGUUGUAAUUUGCAGAGGAAGCUUCUGGCGCGGCGCUGUCCGAGUCCCCUGGAACGGGGCGCCAUAGAGGGUGAGAGCCCCGUAUGGAUGGAUGCCUAGCCUGUGUGAAGCUCCUUCGACGAGUCGAGUAGUUUGGGAAUGCUGCUCAAAAUGGGAGGUAAAUUCCUUCUAAAGCUAAAUAUUGGCCAGAGACCGAUAGCGCACAAGUAGAGUGAUCGAAAGAUGAAAAGCACUUUGAAAAGAGGGUUAAAUAGCACGUGAAAUUGUUGAAAGGGAAGCGCUUGUGACCAGACUUGCGCCAGGCUGAUCAUCCGGUGUUCUCACCGGUGCACUCUGCCUGGCUCAGGCCAGCAUCGGUUUCAGCGGGGGGAUAAAGGCCUAGGGAACGUAGCUCCCCCGGGAGUGUUAUAGCCCUGGGUGCAAUGCCCCCGCCGGGACCGAGGUUCGCGCAUCUGCUAGGAUGCUGGCGUAAUGGUCAUCAGCGACCCGUCUUGAAACACGGACCAAGGAGUCAAGGUUUUGCGCGAGUGUUUGGGUGUUAAACCCGCACGCGUAAUGAAAGUGAACGUAGGUGAGAGCUUCGGCGCAUCAUCGACCGAUCCUGAUGUAUUCGGAUGGAUUUGAGUAGGAGCGUUAAGCCUUGGACCCGAAAGAUGGUGAACUAUGCUUGGAUAGGGUGAAGCCAGAGGAAACUCUGGUGGAGGCUCGCAGCGGUUCUGACGUGCAAAUCGAUCGUCAAAUCUGAGCAUGGGGGCGAAAGACUAAUCGAACCAUCUAGUAGCUGGUUACCGCCGAAGUUUCCCUCAGGAUAGCAGUGUUGUUCUUCAGUUUUAUGAGGUAAAGCGAAUGAUUAGGGACUCGGGGGCGAUUUUUAGCCUUCAUCCAUUCUCAAACUUUAAAUAUGUAAGAAGCCCUUGUUACUUAGUUGAACGUGGGCAUUCGAAUGUACCAACACUAGUGGGCCAUUUUUGGUAAGCAGAACUGGCGAUGCGGGAUGAACCGAACGCGGGGUUAAGGUGCCGGAGUGGACGCUCAUCAGACACCACAAAAGGCGUUAGUACAUCUUGACAGCAGGACGGUGGCCAUGGAAGUCGGAAUCCGCUAAGGACUGUGUAACAACUCACCUGCCGAAUGUACUAGCCCUGAAAAUGGAUGGCGCUCAAGCGUCCCACCCAUACCCCGCCCUCAGGGUAGAAACGAUGCCCUGAGGAGUAGGCGGCCGUGGAGGUCA
rnacentral:rRNA from 1 species